GAAUCACAAUGAAGAUUGUUUGGCCAUUUGGGAUCAACAGCCAAUAUUUGCUUGCGUCUGAUUCUUCAGUUCUUUAAUCAAACCUUUUUUAUCUAAAUUGAACCAAUUUAAAUGUGUGAUUCAUUGUGAUUAUUGUUACAUGUUGUAUUUCUGAUAGCAGCCUACAGUCCAGGGUAUUUAACAGCUCUAGCUUGCACGUGAUUGGCUAUGAAGGCUUAAUAAUUAAUAGAUUAAAUUUCUAGUUCCGCAUGUUUGUAGUCACCUGAAUAAAGCAAUUGUUUAUAUGGUUGGCAAGUUCAACUCCUUCGAAAAAACAGCCAUUGUGAAGAAUGCUAGACACCUGGCUAGUAUUAUUAUUCAUUCCAGCAAGGCUUUUCACUUCUUUCCACCACUGUCGAGUGUUUGAUUUUCCGCAAUGCUUGAUUUUGUGUUUAAGAUAGCGUUGUUUUGUCUUUUCCACUAAUCGAUUUGUCUUAUUUCUCAAUGAUCGAAACUCCGGUGAUUGUGGUGCUAAUCACAUCCAAGCUUUCUGCCGUUCAACUAUAGCUCGUUGAAUUUAUGCAGAUAUCCAAGGUGUAAAGUUCACAGUUUUUAAUUUUUCAAAAAACAUGUGUCUAUUGGCACUGCAAAUUCACGUACAAGCACUUUUGAUUUCUUUCCUUUUGGUGAAAUUGUCUUGGGAAAUAGUACAUUGUGAUCAGAACUUCCAAUUGAGGGUAGGAUUUCAGGUUGGUUGUAGUAUUUAUGAAGAAUAGGUAAGAUCAGGCCAAGAAUCUUUUGCCCUCUCGUUGGUAUUUUACUAAUUGUCUUAAGUUAAAUGAGGACCACAGAUCUCGAUAAUUAAAAUGGUUAAAGUCGCCUGCUAACAUGAUAAACGCAUUUGGAAAGGAGUCAAGGGUACUAUCUAAAGUUGGAUAUAGCUCAUAAGAGCUUUAUUAUCAUCACUAUCAUGUCCGGGGGUGGGGUGGCGAUAAACAACUCCGACAACAACAACUUCGUGCCCAGGGUCAUUCCUCUUGCGGAGAAAAGAC